UACGUAGGGUCCGAGCGUUGUCCGGAGUUACUGGGCGUAAAGCGCGCGCAGGCGGCGGUGUUGGCCCGGCGUGAAAGCCCCCGGCUCAACCGGGGAGGGUCGUCGGGGACCGCACCGCUUGAGGGCGGUAGGGGCUGGUGGAAUGCCUGGUGUAGUGGUGAAAUGCGUAGAGAUCAGGCGGAACACCUGUGGCGAAGGCGGCCAGCUGGGCCGUCCCUGACGCUGAGGCGCGAAAGCGUGGGGAGCGAACAGG
rnacentral:rRNA from 1 species